rnacentral:lncRNA from 1 species
CUUUGCUUUAGUAACUUUAAUUUGUUGGCAUUGCCAUUGCCGUUUCGGGGUCCGUUACGCUGCCAGCAGAGACCAAGUCCGACCCCGUUCCUCGCCCAUCGACGAACCCUUUACAUUGCUCUAUUAUCGCUCGGGUUUGGUUAGGUCGUGUUUCUUUUGCGUUAGUUUUUGAUUUUUCUUUCUGUUUUUUUUCUUUUCUGUUUGUCGUUUUGGGUAUCAGCGCGCAAGGUGGUCAAAAUGGGAGGAGUGUCUGCGGGGGAGAUCAGAGUCUGAGUCAGCUUGAAAUAUUUCUGUUUGUGCAACUUGAUCGGAAUUGUUGGCAAUAUGGACAUGCAUACACACAUAUGUGUAUGUGUGCACUUUUUUUAGUUCCUGGCACCGAGAUGCAUUUGGCCUCUGACACACCUUUGUUUUUGUUAUGCCAAAUGGUUUCGGGUUCUGGUUCAGCUCCCUAACAGAACAGCUGAUAUUAUAGGAACAC